rnacentral:rRNA from 1 species
CCUACGGGAUGCAGCAGUGGGGAAUAUUGCGCAAUGGGCGAAAGCCUGACGCAGCGACGCCGCGUGAGGGAUGAAGGUCUUCGGAUCGUAAACCUCUGUCAGCAGGGAAGAACGGUCACUGUGCUAAUCAGCAGUGAAUUGACGGUACCUGCAAAGGAAGCACCGGCUAACUCCGUGCCAGCCGCCGCGGUAAUACGGAGGGUGCGAGCGUUAAUCGGAAUUACUGGGCGUAAAGCGCUCGUAGGCGGUAUGUCAAGUCAAGUGUGAAAUCCCCGGGCUCAACGUGGGAAUUGCCUUUGAAACUGGCAAACUGGAGUGUGUGAGAGGUUAGUGGAAUUCCAGGUGUAGGAGUGAAAUCCGUAGAUAUCUGGAGGAACAGCGGUGGCGAAGGCGACUAUCUGGCACAUAACUGACGCUGAGGAGCGAAAGCGUGGGUAGCAAACAGGAUUAGAUACCCCAGUAGUC